CCGCGGCGGGGGCCGCUUGAACCUCAGCUUGUUGCUCUGGCCCAUGGUGUCCGGCGGUGGGACAGUGGUGCCGUUGGGCAGGCUGUGUGGCUGAGCGGGGGGGGCGUCUCCCUCGGGGCAGAGCGGGGCCCUCUGUAGCGGUAGAGGAACCCCAGAGGCUGGCCUCGGGGCGGCCUCAUCGGCUGCUCUGCUGGAGGCCGUACUGAGGACAGGACUCUCCCCCCAGACGCUGUCCGAGUGUGUGAGACGCUCCACAACGUUGGGGACAACAUGACAGAACUGGGGCCGGGGUGCUGGCGGUUCGUUUGUCUCACCGUCAUGCAGUGGGAGAGCCAUGGUGCAGAACUCUGGAGAGAGACAGAACAAGGAUGAGAGAAAGGGCUUUUAAUGAAUAUCUUGAAUAAAUCCUUUUUACUAUUUUUGUAUUUUGUAAUGGAAAACACAAAUCUCAAAACAUAAAAACCUGACAGAAGGUUUUUUAGAAACAUCGUUCUAAAAGCUUUUUGCCUUUUAGAUGGCAGCAACAUCACAAGUAUGGUAGUAAGUAGGACACAGUUGCGUUUAAGACACAUCCAUGAGCAACAGUGACAUCUACUGCUCAUUGAGGGCAGCUAACCCAGUUGUUGUUGCUCUCGGGGAUGAUAUGACGAAAACGAGCAUGGUAGUCUUGCGACUAGCUACAUUUGAAGAUGUCAGAAUGCUCAAUAUGAAUGGUUAUACCUUUUGCCAUGGCAGAGACCACCGAGAGUUCCUCUUUUUUUGCAAUGGUGAUGACCUUGGGUAACCGCAGAGUGACCGGUAAGAUGUCCCUAAACCAACCAAGUGUUAUCAGACAUUAUUCUUCCAUGUUGUUCUAAAAAUGCUUUGUCGUGUGAAAUGUAGGCAAAUGUAUACAUAUCUAUUCAUGUGUGUGUGUGUGUGUGUGUGUGUGUGUGUGUGUGUGUGUGUGUGUGUGUGUGUGUGUGUGUGUGUGUGUGUGUGUGUGUGUGUCCAGAAAUACCUGCUGAAACAGUAGAAUGAAAUUAGCUUGAUGAUAUUGUCAAAAAGCAGGCAGGAACCCUCUAGAUGCAGAACUGAGGAAAAGACAUCAAUCAUUGAAUCUAUCCAUCUAUCUUUCUUUCUAUUUAUCCAUCAUGAUCGUAUAUUUUGCCUAGCACUGUUUGAUUGCUAUAUUCAUUUUACAGUUAAAUGUCCUAGCUUCCAGUCCCCUUGAACUAUCAUUCAGGUUGGUUGUCUUAGGACGUGCAGAGGCCUACAUUUCCCAUACUCCUUGACUGGUAUGUUGUGCAUGGCAGCCUCCCCUCGUCCAUUAGGGAGGCGAACUGACAACAAAGUGGCCUCGUCGCCUCUGCAGUGGACCAGGAACACCUGCAGAGUACAGAGUGGUUCAUGCUCAAAGUUGCCUCACCCCGGCGGCCUCCCUCUCCAGGCCUCUGGCGACCUGCUCCGGGUCCAGCUGGCUCACCCUCCACACUGAGGUGCUCCCCAACAGUCUCUCGCUGAAGCCCCCCGGCCCCUCUGAGCCCGGAGGGCAGCAGGGAGGAGGAGAGGGAGGCGAGUCGGAGGGAGUCAAAGGAGGAGGAGGAGGAGAAGAGGAAGAAGGAAUAAGUGGGGGAGCAGAGAGGAACGGAGGUGAAGACCUGAGGCUGGAGCAGCCAGAAAAACAUACAAGCAUAAAAACAGAAACGGCAGUCUUCAAUCAUACCCUACUGUAUUCUUUCUGUCAUUCUGCCAGUCGGCUCUUGGCUACCCAUCUUGUGGCAGGUGGAUGAAAGUCUAUGUUGGCUGAAGACAAACAGUUUGAAAAUCAACAAUCAACAAUCAGAAUCCAUCCAAAUCCAUUCAAAGAAAGACGCUUUUGAGGGAGGGUAAUGAUCCCGUUGGAGCUGCUGGUGUAUUCUUGUUGAACUAUAACAAUGGACUUUUAUGCUUGUUUUUAUUGAAAUGUAAAGAAAAUAACAUUUUGGA